ACCGCCUUGGCCCUGAGCGCAUUCUUGUACCCCCCUCGAUUACACAUGCAAGCAUCCACAUACCUGUGAGGACACACAUCAUACCUGACCACAUGACAUCAGGCACGCCCAACCCAUGAGCAGCCCAUGACGUCUAGCCCAUGCCACACCCCCACGGAACUCAGCAGUGAUUAAUUUUCGGCCAUGGGCACACGCCCGACCAAGAGUUAGGGACCAGAGCCGGCCAACCUCGUGCCAGCCGCCGCGGUUACACGGGGGGCUCAAAACAACUACACCUCGGCGUAAAUAGUGACUAGAGCACCACCUUGGAGAACAAACUACACUAUCGUUGUAAAAUACACAUAGUAAUCAGCCACCUACAACCAACCCCAAAACAGCCUUGACCCCACGAAACCUAGGUCACAAACUAGGAUUAGAUACCCUACUAUGCCUAGGCCUAAACCACGGCACCUGCCCGCCAGAACACUACAGACGAAAGCCUGAAACUCAAAGGGCUUGACGGUGUCUUAAAUCCACUUAGAGGAGCCUGUCCAAUAAUCGACACCCCACGAAAAACCCAACCACCCCUCGCAAAACCCCGCUUAUAUACCGCCGUCACCAGCUCAUCCCACAAGGGACCCCCAAUGAGCACAACAAUUCGCACAUUAACAAGUCAGGUCAAGGUGUAGCUAAUGCGGUGGACAGGAGAUGGGCUACAUUGUCUUCACCAAGACAUCACCGUAAGUGAAAUGAAACUGCACCCAAAGACGGAUUUAACAGUAAACCGAGUGAGUCUAACUCUGCUGAAGUUGGCCCUAAGACGCGUACACACCGCCCGUCACCCCCAUCAAAACCCAUAACACCACAUAACUAAUAUGAUAAAACUCAAAAGAUGGGGCAAGUCGUAACAUGGUAAGUGUACUGGAAAGUGCACUUGGCAAA
rnacentral:ncRNA from 1 species